GGGUUAGUAGGUUGGUCAUGCCUCUGGUAUGUACUGGUCUCACUGAUUCCUCCUUCCUGAUGAACCUUAAUGCCAUUAAUUUAGCGUGGUGGGAAACCAGGACCUUUACCUUGAAAAAAUUAGAGUGUUCAAAGCAGGCUUACGUCUGAAUACAUUAGCAUGGAAUAAUAGAAUAGGACGGUGGUCCUGUUUUGUUGGUUUCUGAAUCACCGUA
rnacentral:rRNA from 1 species